CAAAUGCACCUACCCUGUGACAUUUGCAAAACUGAGUAAUAGAAAUGUAGAUUGAGUGUCAACCAAGGUGUCGAUGGAGUGUCGAUUGAGUAUGGAUCGGGUGUUGUUUGAGUGUCAAUUGAGAGUAUCGAUCAAGGGUAUCAAUCGACACUCGACCACAGAUGCCUUUAGUACACAUAAUCCAGCUUAUCUUUAGUGGGUGAAAUUGUUACAAUGUUUGGUACAAAUCAAACUUGCCAUUAGUUGCAAAUUAUAAAGCUGAGCUCAUAACAAUAUUAUUAUGUGACCUCUCUGGACAGUACCAAUAGUUUUAGGUUUCAUGUCUUGGUCUUUUGAGCAGUAGACAAUUAAAUGCCAAUUAAAAUCUGACUAGGGGAAAUCUGCUUAUGAAUGUUGUUUUUAUCCUUCAGGCUAGCCAUUCUAAAAGAACUGAAGAUAUUAACAGAAUAAAUUAGGAGAGGAUACAAUAUACCUCUGUAGUUCAUAGUCAACUCAGAUGUAGUUUAAUCAUGCAGUGCUCCAAAGUGUGGAAACAUCACAACAUUUUGGAAAAUAAGGAAAAAGAUAACACUACUGAUCAUGAAGAGAUCUGUGGAAAUUACACAGGAACAGCAAUAUUCCCAUAGGUGUGUGUAUUCCUCAUUUCUUGUCACAGUUUAUGUCAGAUUUGUUGGUUUUUUAGAUUGCUAUUUUGCAACGAUAAAAGAUCUUUGUUGUGAGAUGUCCGUUUCUCUGAAAAGUGUUGUGCACUCUGAUGAAAAUAUUUGUCCACAGACAGUAUCAGUUCCCAGAAGCAAACAGUUUACUUAGAGCAAAGCUCAAGGAAAAUCGUGAGCUUUGAGGAGCACAUAGUGCCAAAGACAUAUAUCCUUACAUAUUUUUAAAGUCAAAAUAUGGUGCUAUUGUGUUUAUUAUCCUCAGUCAAAUAUAUCACGCAACACGCUGGAUCUUUUGAAAAUGAGGAAUAUUACUCAUAUAUUUUGCCCAGUUUUACCUGGGGCAUAUUCAGUCACGUGAUGCGUUUAGACCAGCCACGUGAACGAAAAUAUGUUUAUGGACUACAGACAAGACUAUUUUCACCGUUUUUUUGUUAGUAAACUGAGUUUAAGAUUAAAAUUCCUAAACUGCGGUAAAAUUAAAUACAUAUUUGCUAUUGACGGAAGCACAAACUAUGCAGAGGUGGAGUAAUGAUCUGAUUGGUCACGUUUUUGAUGUGAUAUUAGCAAAAACUAUAGG